UGCAGUCGAGCGGAGAGAGGUAGCUUGCUACUGAUCUUAGCGGCGGACGGGUGAGUAAUGCUUAGGAAUCUGCCUAUUAGUGGGGGACAACAUUUCGAAAGGAAUGCUAAUACCGCAUACGUCCUACGGGAGAAAGCAGGGGAUCUUCGGACCUUGCGCUAAUAGAUGAGCCUAAGUCGGAUUAGCUAGUUGGUGGGGUAAAGGCCUACCAAGGCGACGAUCUGUAGCGGGUCUGAGAGGAUGAUCCGCCACACUGGGACUGAGACACGGCCCAGACUCCUACGGGAGGCAGCAGUGGGGAAUAUUGGACAAUGGGCGCAAGCCUGAUCCAGCCAUGCCGCGUGUGUGAAGAAGGCCUUAUGGUUGUAAAGCACUUUAAGCGAGGAGGAGGCUACUUUAGAUAAUACCUAGAGAUAGUGGACGUUACUCGCAGAAUAAGCACCGGCUAACUCUGUGCCAGCAGCCGCGGUAAUACAGAGGGUGCAAGCGUUAAUCGGAUUUACUGGGCGUAAAGCGCGCGUAGGCGGCUAAUUAAGUCAAAUGUGAAAUCCCCGAGCUUAACUUGGGAAUUGCAUUCGAUACUGGUUAGCUAGAGUGUGGGAGAGGAUGGUAGAAUUCCAGGUGUAGCGGUGAAAUGCGUAGAGAUCUGGAGGAAUACCGAUGGCGAAGGCAGCCAUCUGGCCUAACACUGACGCUGAGGUGCGAAAGCAUGGGGAGCAAACAGGAUUAGAUACCCUGGUAGUCCAUGCCGUAAACGAUGUCUACUAGCCGUUGGGGCCUUUGAGGCUUUAGUGGCGCAGCUAACGCGAUAAGUAGACCGCCUGGGGAGUACGGUCGCAAGACUAAAACUCAAAUGAAUUGACGGGGGCCCGCACAAGCGGUGGAGCAUGUGGUUUAAUUCGAUGCAACGCGAAGAACCUUACCUGGCCUUGACAUAGUAAGAACUUUCCAGAGAUGGAUUGGUGCCUUCGGGAACUUACAUACAGGUGCUGCAUGGCUGUCGUCAGCUCGUGUCGUGA
rnacentral:rRNA from 1 species